GACAGAGGUGCCGAGCGUUAGGCGGAAUCACUGGGCUUAAAGCGUGUGUAGGCGGGCGAUCAAGUACCUUGUGAAAUCCCACGGCUCAACCGUGGAACCGCUGGGUAUACUGGUUGUCUUGAGCCGGCUAGGGGCGAGCGGAACAGACGGUGGAGCGGUGAAAUGCGUAGAUAUAGGAAGGAACAUCAGUGGCGAAGGCGACACCCUGGACCGAUACUGACACUGAGGCGCGAAAGCGUGGGUAGCGAACAGG
rnacentral:rRNA from 1 species